CAACGAAUAUUCCGCAAUGGGCGCAAGCCUGACGGAGCGACGCCGCGUGGAGGAUGAAGUCCUUCGGGAUGUAAACUCCAAUAGUUUGUGAGGAAGUAACCCGGCCUAAUACGUCGGGAAGUUGACCAGCAGAUGAAAGGGGCGGCUAACUCCGUGCCAGCAGCCGCGGUAAGACGGAGGCCCCGAGCGUUGUUCGGAAUUAUUGGGCUUAAAGCGCGUGUAGGCGGGCCGGUAAGUGCUUUGUGAAAUCCCCGGGCUCAACCCGGGAAUUGCUUGGC
rnacentral:rRNA from 1 species